UCGAUGAAUAGCUUAUGUCUCUCAGUAACA
rnacentral:sRNA from 1 species